rnacentral:rRNA from 1 species
UACCGGCGGCUCGAGUGGUGGCCGAUAUUAUUGGGUCUAAAGGGUCCGUAGCCGGCUCCGCAAGUCCCGCGCGAAAUCCGGCGGCUCAACCGUCGGACGUGCACGGGAUACUGCGGGGCUUGAGACCGGGAGAGGUGGGAGGUACCCGGGGGGGAGGAGUGAAAUCCUGUUAUCCUUCGGGGACCACCGGUGGCGAAGGCGUCCCACCAGAACGGCUCUGACGGUGAGGGACGAAAGCCAGGAGC